ACGCUGGCGGCAGGCUUAACACAUGCAAGUCGAACGGUAACAGGAAUUAGCUUGCUAAUUUGCUGACGAGUGGCGGACGGGUGAGUAAUGCUUGGGAAUCUGGCUUAUGGAGGGGGAUAACUACGGGAAACUGUAGCUAAUACCGCGUAAAAUCUUCGGAUUAAAGGGUGGGACUUUCGAGCCACCUGCCAUAAGAUGAGCCCAAGUGGGAUUAGGUAGUUGGUUAGGUAAAGGCUGACCAAGCCGACGAUCUCUAGCUGGUCUGAGAGGAUGACCAGCCACACUGGAACUGAGACACGGUCCAGACUCCUACGGGAGGCAGCAGUGGGGAAUAUUGCACAAUGGGGGGAACCCUGAUGCAGCCAUGCCGCGUGAAUGAAGAAGGCCUUCGGGUUGUAAAGUUCUUUCGGUGACGAGGAAGGUUGAUAGGUUAAUAGCCUAUCAAAUUGACGUUAAUCACAGAAGAAGCACCGGCUAACUCCGUGCCAGCAGCCGCGGUAAUACGGGGGGUGCGAGCGUUAAUCGGAAUAACUGGGCGUAAAGGGCACGCAGGCGGUGACUUAAGUGAGAUGUGAAAGCCCCGAGCUUAACUUGGGAAUUGCAUUUCAUACUGGGUCGCUAGAGUACUUUAGGGAGGGGUAGAAUUCCACGUGUAGCGGUGAAAUGCGUAGAGAUGUGGAGGAAUACCGAAGGCGAAGGCAGCCCCUUGGGAAUGUACUGACGCUCAUGUGCGAAAGCGUGGGGAGCAAACAGGAUUAGAUACCCUGGUAGUCCACGCUGUAAACGAUGUUGAUUUGGGGAUUGGGCUUUGAGCUUGGUGCCCGUAGCUAACGUGAUAAAUCGACCGCCUGGGGAGUACGGCCGCAAGGUUAAAACUCAAAUGAAUUGACGGGGGCCCGCACAAGCGGUGGAGCAUGU
rnacentral:rRNA from 1 species